CCCUUAGAUGUCCUGGGCCGCACGCGCGCUACACUGAUGCAUGCAACGAGUUUAUAACCUUGGCCUGAAAGGUCUGGGUAAUCUUUUGAACGUGCAUCGUGAUAGGGAUAGAUUAUUGCAAUUGUUAAUCUUGAACGAGGAAUUCCUAGUAAACGCGAGUCAUCAGCUCGCAUUGAUUACGUCCCUGCCCUUUGUACACACCGCCCGUCGCACCUACCGAUUGAAUGGUUCGGUGAAGCCUCGGGAUUGCUGUGAGUUUCCUUCAUUGGGAACUCGCGGCGAGAACUUGUCUAAACCUUAUCAUUUAGAGGAAGGUGAAGUUGUAACA
rnacentral:rRNA from 1 species